CAACAGUGAGACAGUACCAUCCUGGCACUGCUCCCCCUUCCCUCCCUCCCCCCCGCACACGGGGCCAUGUGAGAGGGAGCGGGGUUGCUCGCACUCCUGCGGCUGAGUCAGGCACCGACUGCCCCCAUGCCUGCGCCCACCCAGCAUCACUCACCCACCUGGCACCACCCCAUGGAGCAAGUAACAUCUGUGAAAGCCAAAGGGGAGCUGUGUGUUGAAGAUUAAGGGUUCUCCUAAGCCAGUGAGCCUCUCAGACCAGCAGGAUUUAUGGCAUGCUCAGUCACAUCCCUGCCAGGCCUUUUGACUCCCAGUUCAAAUAACCAGACCCCUACAAACAGCCAGAUAUCUCCAGGUUUUCAUCUAAAAUCCAAGUCUUCUCUGUUAUGGAUAUUCCAUAUGGACACCACAUGGAUGGAGGACUAAUGCUCUUUGUGGUCCCAAAGGCUGGGAAGGAAGACUGACCCUCAAACUGAGAUACAGUCUUGGAGAAACAGCAACACAUCCCUUCAAUAAAAUACACUAAAAACCUUCUAAUUGAAAAAUA
rnacentral:lncRNA from 1 species